GGCCGUGUGGCGUAAUGGCAACGCGUCUGACUACGAUUUGGAAUCAGGAGAUUGCAGGUUCGACCCCUGUCUCGGUCA